CCUACGGGAGGCAGCAGUGAGGAAUAUUGGUCAAUGGGCUUACGCCUGAACCAGCCAAGUCGCGUGAGGGAAGACUGCCCUAUGGGUUGUAAACCUCUUUUGUCAGGGAGCAAUUGGCGCUACGUGUAGCGUUAUCGAGAGUACCUGCAGAAAAAGCAUCGGCUAACUCCGUGCCAGCAGCCGCGGUAAUACGGAGGAUGCGAGCGUUAUCCGGAUUUAUUGGGUUUAAAGGGUGCGUAGGCGGAAUGCCAAGUCAGCGGUAAAAUCGCGGGGCUCAACCUCGCUCCGCCGUUGAAACUGGCGGUCUUGAGUGGGCGAGAAGUAUGCGGAAUGCGUGGUGUAGCGGUGAAAUGCAUAGAUAUCACGCAGAACUCCGAUUGCGAAGGCAGCAUACCGGCGCCCAACUGACGCUGAAGCACGAAAGCGUGGGUAUCGAACAGGAUUAGAUACCCGAGUAGUC
rnacentral:rRNA from 1 species